CUGGUCCAGGGCUGAGGGGGAGUUGACGGAGGUAGGGAGGGAGAGGGUUAAGUUACACCAGUGGAAGAGAAGGAAAGGCUGAGGUGUUGAUCUCACUGGGAAGUCGCCUGUGCCGAGCAGUGCCCCGGGUAUCCCACUCUCUCUCUGAACGUUUACAAGUCAUCCGUUCAGGACGGGGACUGGGAAACACCGCAGAGGACCGUGAGACCCCAGGAAUUCAGGGUCCCUGACUGUGUACCAAUCAGCAGCGCUAGAGAAGGCCUCUGGAUCCAAAUUUCAAGUCCAACGGAGGCUUCAUCAGUCUGUGCCCAAACUUGUGUGAAGCAAACGAGAGAAACAGCAAGAGAGAGACUGAAAGAGAGGAAGAGAAGGAGGAGGGAGGGCUCUCCAAUGAUAACCCUGAGUGUACGUUACACGGCUCUCUGGUAGCCACCAUUUUAAAUUGGCCCUCACAGUGCUCCGCAGCGGCUGACUGAGAGUGAAAAUGUGAUGAGCUUUUCUGUCGUCCCCAUAGCGAGCGAGCGUGGAUGGAGGCCGGCGAAGGAAGCGCAUUGCUUAAUGAGACCAUUGCUCUUGUGUUGGGAGGCUUAGGACAGGCAAUUACUGAGGGAUUACCACCAGAGGCCUCCUCCAGCAGUGCUGCUGCCGCCGCUCCACCAGUGCUGACUGCUGGGGCAGGGAACUAAGCAGACACAGCUUGUUACAGAACAUUUUUUUCCUCUUUGGAUUUUUAUUGUUUUUGUUCCUUUUUUUGUUGUGGUGGUUGUUGGUUGGAAUUUGUCAUUUUUCUCACGACAAAUCAUC
rnacentral:lncRNA from 1 species